AGGUGACCAGAACUUAGAAGCAAACCUUCUAGAUCAUGAGGAAACUGAAUCAUUUUCAGUACCUCAAACGAAGAACUGUAAGAGGUGGCUCCGUGUCUCCAUAUACGCAAUCUUUGUCAUCUUCUGCCAACCACUUGCUACAGUUCUGGGUAGACUGUACUAUGAAAAUGGAGGGAAAAGCACAUAUGUGGUAACACUUCUUCAACUCAUUGGCUUCCCUGUACUGAUUCUCUUCCGCUUCUUUUCUCGAAUCAGGCAACCCAAAUCAACAGAUACAAAUUUCAGUCAGUCCCCUUCCUUCACCACCCUUGCAUCGGUUUACUUGUGCACUGGACUGCUAGUGUCUGCUUAUGCUUAUUUGUCUG
rnacentral:sRNA from 1 species